rnacentral:rRNA from 1 species
AACGAACGCUGGCGGCGUGCCUAACACAUGCAAGUCGAACGGAAAGUUCGGGCCUUUUGGCGCAGGUCUGCGUGCGAAGGGGUGAGCUACACGUGGGUUCCCUAUACCUGCCUGUGGGAGAUCCUAAUGACACUUGGUCUCUUACGGCCUAGGAUUUAUGGCGUUUGGAUGGGCCUGGGUUGGAUUCGCUAGUUGGUAGGGUAAAAGCAUACCAUGGCGACGAUGCAUAGCUGGUCUGAGAGGAUGAUCAGCCACACUGGGACUGAGACACGGCCCAGACUCCUACGGGAGGCAGCAGUGGGGAAUAUUGGACAAUGGGCGAAAGCCUGAUCCAGCAAUGCCGCGUGAGUGAUGAAGGCCUUAGGGUUGUAAAGCUCUUUUACCCGGGAUGAUAAUGACAGUACCGGGAGAAUAAGCGCCGGCUAACUCCGUG